rnacentral:rRNA from 1 species
GACGAACGCUGGCGGCGUGCCUAAUACAUGCAAGUAGAACGCUGAAGGAGGAGCUUGCUUCUCUGGAUGAGUUGCGAACGGGUGAGUAACGCGUAGGUAACCUGCCUGGUAGCGGGGGAUAACUAUUGGAAACGAUAGCUAAUACCGCAUAAUAGCAGUUGUUGCAUGAUAACUGUUUGAAAGGUGCAAUUGCACCACUACCAGAUGGACCUGCGUUGUAUUAGCUAGUUGGUGGGGUAACGGCUCACCAAGGCGACGAUACACAGCCGACCUGAGAGGGUGAUCGGCCACACUGGGACUGAGACACGGCCCAGACUCCUACGGGAGGCAGCAGUAGGGAAUCUUCGGCAAUGGACGGAAGUCUGACCGAGCAACGCCGCGUGAGUGAAGAAGGUUUUCGGAUCGUAAAGCUCUGUUGUAAGAGAAGAACGAGUGUGAGAGUGGAAAGUUCACACUGUGACGGUAUCUUACCAGAAAGGGACGGCUAACUACGUG